CUGAGCGUGGCGUAGCUCAAGAGCCACGCUGCAGCGAUUCAGGGAGACUGUUGGAAACGAGGCGCUGGGGCUCCGUGUGAGCGGGGCGCCAGGGAUUUACAGAAAAGUAUUUUCUCCAAAAAAAGUUGCACCAAGCAGAAAAUUAACUCAACAUAAUGGCAAGGAAGUCUUUUGAAGAAAAAAUAGCAAAUGUCUUGGCAUACUUAAAAAGAGGCACAUAUCCUGAAGGAAUGAAUAAAGCUGGCAGACUGAACCUGCGUCGAUAUGCUGUCAACUUUUCAUUGGAAGGAAAGGAAUCCUUUUUUUUUUUUUUUUAAUACAGUACUGACAGAUUUACAGGCUGAAGUUUCCUAUGUAAUGAUGGCCCUGAUGUCCCAACACUGGGAUUAUGUCGAGUGUUACUAUUAUCUUUAAUGGGACCGGAAUUGGUAUCUCUACUUUUCUUUAAAUUAUCCAGAAAAUCAAUCUAUACCAGUGGUGCAACAAAUGCAGUGUGAUGUACAGUUAUGUGAUAAAUGAGUAUGACUUUGAAAAAAACUUUUUUUUUUUCAUUUCUUAAUUAUGUUAUCCAGUCUGCUGCAAGCACCACCAGCAAUCACU